AUUCCGUGGUGUGGGCAUUUUUGAAUCAAUAGCUUGAAAAUUUUCCACCCCUCAUAGAAACUUUCUCCCUCAAUUUGUGUAAAGAUAGUAAUCUCUCUUCUUAGGUU
rfam:Gossypium raimondii Chr11_contig_998, whole genome shotgun sequence.